rnacentral:rRNA from 1 species
AUUGAACGCUGGCGGCAGGCUUAACACAUGCAAGUCGAGCGGAGAGAGGUAGCUUGCUACUGAUCUUAGCGGCGGACGGGUGAGUAAUGCUUAGGAAUCUGCCUAUUAGUGGGGGACAACAUUUCGAAAGGAAUGCUAAUACCGCAUACGUCCUACGGGAGAAAGCAGGGGAUCUUCGGACCUUGCGCUAAUAGAUGAGCCUAAGUCGGAUUAGCUAGUUGGUGGGGUAAAGGCCUACCAAGGCGACGAUCUGUAGCGGGUCUGAGAGGAUGAUCCGACACACUGGGACUGGGACACUGCCCAGACUCCUACGGGAGGCAGCAGUGGGGAAUAUUGGACAAUGGGCGCAAGCCUGAUCCAGCCAUGCCGCGUGUGUGAAGAAGGCCUUAUGGUUGUAAAGCACUUUAAGCGAGGAGGAGGCUACUUUAGAUAAUACCUAGAGAUAGUGGACGUUACUCGCAGAAUAUGCACCGGCUAACUCUGUGCCAGCAGCCGCAGUAA